UCGAAGCCUGGAGCAGACAGAAAAAGCAGCUGCACGAUUCAGUUUUACGGCAAAUUGCGUUCAACAAGCCAUACGUACACCCCGUUGAACGCAAAUCGAUCAUAAUUUUGCAGUGUGGUUGCAGUUUUCUCGACUGUUAGUAGUUAUAUAUAUAUAUUUUCGAUUUGUACUAAUAAUGUGGCUUUCCGUGGUUUUACUGCUUAUUUGCACAGUACAGGGCGCACCAUCAGUACAAAACGAUACACCCACGGAUUUCAACUGUACGGCUUUAGAGGAGUUGUGUACUGAGCGUACUAGUUAUUGGCUCACCGGAGAUGAUUUUGUUGACAAUUUACCAUGGCCCCUUACCGCCCACGACAUCAGUCAAUACAGUUCUUUAAUACAAGAGUACUGCCGUAAUGCGAAAGAAUCGGGAUCUUGUAUGCUCGAUAUGACCUCGAAGUGUCGGCACAUGUUAUCGGACAACGAUGUGAUGCUCCAAACAUUAAAGCAAGGAUUGCGUACGCAGGAUGAACAUGUCAGACAUAAUCGAUUUCGAGGCUGACGGAAUCGCGAAUCAUUCAAGGGAUGCCGAAAACUUACAACUUUGCACAAACAUGAAGAAUGUUGCUGACAAACUGAAAGUGAACGGCGAAGACAGAAGCAACGUAACGGAAAAGUGUGGAUUGGACGCUGCACCGUUGUUGAGCACGGGAUUUGAGAAGUUUUACAUCGCUUACGAAUGCCCUCGACGUGUGCAAGGACAACAGUAAAUUAGAGUAGAUAUUGUUAGAAAGAUCGCUUAUUGCAUUCUGAUGGACGCUACCCUUUCAGUUUCUGAUUCGAAUUCAGUUUUGGCCCCUAUGUCCGGCCAGCGGAAUCUGUCAUUCUUUCCUAGUACAGUCGUAUCUCAUGACCUCACUUCUCGAUUCCUAAAUCCGUAAUUGAGAUUGUUUGGUGCUUUUCCUUUCAUCAUGUUUGUACUCAGUUGUUUCUUCUUUCGAAGAGCUAAAUAAGCAGUUCGAGUUAAAGUGCUCUAAUAGCUCCGUUUUGAUAGCAUCGACGGUUGGACCUGUUAAGUACAUCUGCAUCAGUU